rnacentral:lncRNA from 1 species
GACUAAGUAGCUUUUAUAAUUUUUGUAUUUAAUUUUAUUUCAUAUUUUUAGAUAACAUAGUGUUUUAAUUUUAGGAUUUUUAAUUAAAGAAAAAGAAAAAGAAAAGAUAAGAAAACCUACACAUACAUCAGAUCCCAGAACCCAAGCAAUAACAGAGCGCCGUUCCCAUUGAUCUUCAACAAGGAGAACGAGAAAAAGAGAUCCCUUCUGAGGAAAACAAAAAAGGCACCGUUUCUGGCUUUAUUUCCUCAUCUCUAGAAAGGAAACGAAAAAUCAAUAGCAAAACUAAUGAAAAGGCAAAGACCAAAACCCAAUUUAAAAAGAGCUAGAAAUCGAAGGAGUUCGGACCUUCUCCUUCAGAGCGGCAACGCUAAAAUGGAAAAUCGGAGACCACCUCCUCCCGAUUUUGACUUCUGUUUCGAAAACAUUUCCACUCUUCCUCCUCAUUUUAAUUCUUGAUCUUUCUUGGUCAGAAACUUAUUUUCCUUGGCUGCUUUCAUUCAGAAACAUCUUUCUUGGUCAGAAACUUAUUUUCCUUGGUCAUUUUUGUUACACCAAAUAAUUCUUCGUCAGAAAAAGUGAAGAUGUGUUCUCUUCAUUGAAGUACGCUCGACUUACCGCUUUCUCCGGGCUCUCUUUUAACUAUUUUGUCCGACUUUAAUCUCCCUUGACGUUGUGGAUGUUGCUCCGUUAAUUUCGUUGUUGCUGUUGAAUGUCGAGUUGCCAAUUCGGCCUUUAUUUAUUUUUCCCUUCCUCGAAGGUCAAUUCUAGUCCAAAGGUGUUGAAGUUAUUGAAUCCACUGCUGGUGGACAUGCUGGAUUUCCUCUUUCAUUUUUUAGACAAUCCUUUGGUCUUGUUACUGCUUUCAAAGUACUGUUACUUUGAUAGAAUAAUAUAAAUUUGCAGAUUUUCUUGGGAAUAAGAAUUGUUGGAAAUUUUUCAUAUGUCACUAGCUCGGUCAUUAUUUUGUUUGAUAGCUAUUAUUGGUCUGUUUAAUCGUUGGAGCCUUACAUUAAAACAUAAGGUUGAAU